AGUGGGGCCAGGCCAGAGACAGCUGCGCUGUGCGGGCAGCUAGUCCCAGUACUCCGAGUCGGUCGCGGGCCGACAGGCAUCCCCUGAGCGCCUGCUGGGCUCUUAUCACGCGAUGGCAUCCACUGUGGAAGGAGGCGACACAGCUCUGCUCCCAGAAUUCCCCAGGGGGCCCCUCGAUGCCUACCGAGCAAGAGCGUCCUUCAGCUGGAAGGAGCUGGCGCUGUUCACGGAAGGGGAGGGCAUGCUCCGCUUUAAGAAAACCAUCUUCUCAGCUCUUGAGAAUGACCCUCUUUUCGCUCGUUCCCCUGGAGCCGAUCUGUCCUUGGAGAAGUAUCGCGAGCUGAACUUCCUUCGAUGCAAGCGGAUCUUCGAGUAUGACUUCCUCAGUGUCGAAGACAUGUUCAAGAGCCCUCUGAAGGUCCCCGCCUUGAUUCAGUGCCUGGGCAUGUAUGACUCUUCUCUGGCUGCCAAGUACCUCCUCCAUAGCUUGGUUUUUGGAUCAGCAGUUUACAGUUCUGGUUCUGAAAGACAUCUCACAUAUAUUCAAAAGAUCUUCAGGAUGGAGAUUUUUGGAUGUUUUGCUCUGACCGAAUUAAGCCACGGCAGUAAUACCAAGGCCAUUCGCACAACUGCCCACUACGAUCCUGCCACUGAGGAAUUCAUCAUACAUUCCCCUGAUUUCGAAGCUGCCAAGUUUUGGGUUGGCAACAUGGGCAAGACAGCCACUCACGCGGUGGUGUUUGCUAAGCUGUGUGUGCCAGGGGACCAGUGCCAUGGGCUGCAUCCCUUUAUCGUGCAGAUCCGGGACCCGAAGACCCUUCUUCCCAUGCCUGGAGUGAUGGUUGGCGACAUAGGAAAAAAACUCGGGCAGAACGGUCUGGAUAAUGGUUUCGCCAUGUUCCACAAGGUCAGAGUUCCUCGCCAGAGCCUUCUGAACCGGAUGGGAGACGUCACCCCCGAGGGCACCUAUGUCAGCCCCUUUAAGGACGUCAGGCAGCGCUUUGGAGCGUCCCUGGGGAGCCUGUCCUCGGGCCGGGUCUCCAUCGUGAGCCUGGCCAUCCUUAACCUAAAGCUGGCCGUGGCCAUCGCUCUUCGCUUCUCAGCCACUCGGCGUCAGUUUGGACCCACAGAGGAGGAGGAAAUACCAGUGCUUGAGUAUCCAAUGCAGCAAUGGCGCUUGCUUCCAUAUCUGGCAGCUGUCUACGCCUUAGACCAUUUCUCCAAGUCGCUCUUCCUGGACCUGGUGGAGCUCCAGCGAGGACUUGCAUCGGGAGACCGCAGCGCCAGACAGGCAGAGCUUGGACGUGAGAUCCACGCCCUGGCAUCGGCCAGCAAGCCCCUGGCCUCGUGGACCACCCAGCAAGGAAUUCAGGAAUGCCGGGAGGCGUGUGGAGGACACGGCUAUCUGGCCAUGAACCGGUUGGGUGUCCUUAGAGAUGACAACGAUCCCAACUGCACAUACGAAGGUGACAACAACAUCCUGCUGCAGCAGACAAGCAACUAUUUGCUGGGUCUCCUGGCACACCAGGUCCACGAUGGAGCUUGCUUCCGCAGUCCGCUGAAGUCAGUGGACUUUCUGGACGCCUAUCCCGGCAUCCUUGACCAGAAGUUUGAGGUCUCCAGUGUUGCCGACUGCUUGGACUCUGCAGUCGCCCUGGCAGCAUACAAGUGGCUGGUUUGCUACCUGCUCCGAGAGACUUAUCAAAAAUUAAACCAAGAGAAAAGAUCAGGAAGCAGUGACUUUGAAGCAAGGAACAAAUGCCAGGUGUCCCACGGCCGUCCGUUGGCGCUGGCCUUCGUGGAGCUCACGGUGGUCCAGAGGUUCCACGAGCACGUGCACCAGCCUUCCGUGCCGCCCUCGCUGCGGGCCGUGCUGGGGCGGCUCAGUGCUCUGUACGCCCUGUGGUCCCUGAGCCGCCACGCGGCCCUGCUCUACCGAGGAGGAUACUUCUCCGGUGAGCAGGCGGGAGAAGUGUUGGAGAGCGCCGUCCUGGCUUUGUGUUCCCAGCUGAAAGACGAUGCAGUUGCCCUGGUAGACGUGAUCGCUCCUCCUGACUUUGUUCUGGACUCACCGAUUGGCAGAGCCGACGGCGAGCUCUACAAAAACCUCUGGGGCGCUGUCCUGCAGGAAAGCAAGGUGUUGGAGCGGGCAUCCUGGUGGCCAGAGUUUUCUGUGAACAAACCUGUCAUAGGAAGUCUGAAAUCGAAGCUCUAGUGGGACUGGCACACAUUCAGCCAAGUCUAAUGAAACGAAGGGAACUAAUCAGACGUGGACCUCAACUUCUGAUUCCAGAACACGCCGGAGAUUGCUGCUGCUUUCUGAGCCCGCACCUGUGCGCCUAAACUGCUGAUUGGCCUCAACUGCCCAGGCGGACGGGAGGGAGGCACCCGGCCGGCUGGACUAAUCUGGGAUCGCGGUGAUUUGCAGCGUGGAAAAGAAAUGCAGAUGAUCAUGUCUACCUGAUGCGCCGUGGGUUUUUUGAUAAUUAGAAUUUCGCACAUUCAGUUUUCAGGGUUCAGCUCCUUUCUCUAAAGUAAACAGCCCAUUGUCAGGGAUCUUCUGGUCAGACAACCUGUGAUUCAUCUAGAUUUUUUACCGAGCUCCACUUCAUUGAGAAGUCAAUGAUGCCAGUCUGGUUCUUUGUCAACUCUCCCUCGGCUUUGUCACAUAAUUGAAUUAUGUCAUAACCUUAUUAAUUUGCACAUAGAUCAUCUGAAUGUCGUGGUUUAAGACUUAAGGAGGAACAUCUGUUUGAUUACUUUCUUUUGUGGAACUGGAAAUUUCCAUCGAGGAAAUGUUUUUUUAAAAAGUCUAAUGAUUUGAAUGGGCAAUUCAGUCUCCAACCGCCCCCCUCCCCCUGCCGCCAGUUAUAUACAAAUCACUUUAUUGGUAACAUGUAUGAUCUGUUUGUCCCUGCAGAGUCUACCCAGCAAGUCCUUGCACACAUGUGGCCUGUCCCCAUGGCGCUGGCCACAGCCUGACUGCAGCAGACCGGGGCCAUCAGUGCACGCCUCCCCCGGUCACUCCUGCUCCCUGCAGGGCCAUGGGCUUGGCUGCCCUUCCCAGUGUUAGGUUCCCGGAGCAGUUCUGUCUUUGCAUCUGGGUCCUGCUUCUUAACCUCUGAUCAGCUCAGGGCACGGAAGGCCUUCGUCUUCAGUAGCAGGGAGUUGGGUCACUCUGGUGCCCCCUGACCCCCGUGGCCACACUCGUAUCACCACAGCCCAUCAAACAGAUGUAACCCAGCAUGUCUCAGGACGGUGCCGAACCAAAUAAGACCAGUUCUUAUUUUUCCAGGUAGCCCAGAGAACUUUUGAGCGUCUGAAGGGCAUGGUCCAGAAUGUUUUUAAAAACUGAAUUUCCAGCACUGGAAAUCACUUCUGAAGCCAUUUUCAUGUUAGAAAAGGGUCAGGACACCACCCCCCCACCACAUCCCACCCGUCUGGGGCUCCAGGGGCAUCUGAGGGGUAAUUAGUGACUUCUUUGAUGAUCACCUACCGCCUGCCAGCACCUUACUGAGCACUCAGGAUUCAUCAUCUCGUGGGACGCUCAGCCAACCGCGUGGGGUGAGCUGUGCCGUUUGCUGCAUCUGCAGAGAGGAGACUGGUCCCAAUAGGCUGGACACUGCCGCAGGCAGACAGCAGGAGGUGGCCGAGCGGGACCAGAAGCCAUGGGACCUCCCUGGUGCCUGAGUGCCCCAGCACAGGGCUGAGACGCAAUAGCAGGUCACAGAAGUUGUUCAAGGUCAAGGGUAUGUUCAAGGUUUACAGAAAAAAACACAUUUGACUUCGGUGUCAUAUAUGACGGGUUCUCAUGCAGGAGAGCUUUGUGAUGUCACGAUGUCACCAUGUCAGACACGACAGGUUCUCGUGCAGGAGAGCUCUGCGAUGCCUGUGGCCAUGAUGUCACCAUGUCAGACACAACGGGUUCUCGUGCAGGAGAGCUUUGCGAUGCCACGAUGUCACCAUGUCAGACACGACGGGUUCUCAUGCAGGAGAGCUUUGCGAUGCCACAAUGUCACCAUGUGGUUUGCAUUUUCAUAUCCACCUGUUGGAAAGGUCCUCAUUCGCCAACUGUGGGAGCUGGCACACUUUACUGGCAGUGUUGACAAAAAGCCAAGCUCUGUGAAAUAUUUGAAGAGGUUUAUUCUGAGCCAAAUGUGAAGACUAUGACCUGUGACACAGCCCUGGGAGGUCCUGAGAAUAGCUGCCUAAGAUUGCUGGGUUACAGCCUGAUUUUAUACAUUUUAAGGGGACAGAAGUUAGAGGCAGAGAGGUCAGUCAGUACAUGGAGAGUGCACAUUGGUUCAGCCCAGAAAGGUCUGAAAACAGGCUUCUAGGUAUAGGUGUGUUACAGGAAAAGGGACCCCAUCUGGACCCCAAGAGAGGGUUCUUGGAUCUCAUGCAAGAAAGAAUUCAGGGUGAAUCCAUAGAGUAAAGUGAAAGCAAGUUUAUUAAGAAAGUAAAGGAAUAGAAGAAUGGCUACUCCAUACAGCAGCCCCAAGGGCUGCUGGUUGCCCAUUUUUAUGGUUAUUUCUUGGUGAUAUAAUAAUCAAAGGGUGGAUUCGUGCCUCCCUGUUUUAGACCUUGUAGGGUAACUUCCUGACGUUGCCAUGGCAUUUGUAAACUGUCAUGGCGCUGGUGGGAGUGUAGCAGUGAGGACAACGAGAGGUUACUCUCAUGGCCAUCUUGGUUUUGGUGGGUUUUAGCCGACUUCCUUACUGCCACCCAUUUUAUCAGCAAGGUCUUUAUGACCUGCAUCCUGUGCCGACCUCAUCUCAUCCUGUGACUUAAUGCCUUAAGUGUCUGGGAAUGCAGCCCAGUAGGUCUCAGCCUCAUUUUACCCAGCUCCUAUUCAAGAUGGAGUUGCUCUGGUUCACAUGCCUCUGACAUUGCUCCCCUCCCUUUUAUAAGACAACCUUUAAUCCUAAGGGUUGCAGAGGGAUGAAGAUCCAUCUUCUGUAACUUCUUCAGGGUGAAUAGGGUCCAUGAUACUCCUGCCUAUUAAGGUCUCUUCUGUUCAGGGUAGAGAAGAGCUCAGCCAGAAAGCCUUGGAAUGGUGAGAGCCAUUCAUAACUCUUGAGUUCUCACAAAAGGUGAUAUAUGAAAGAUUAUUAAGUGUUUAAGAAAACAUUCAGUAAGCUUGUCCUAUAUUCCUACACAAAGAGUACAACAGCAAUAUAACAGAAUAAGCAAAGCUAUCCCAAGUGAACUAAAUUAGAAGGCUUUCCAUGAACUGGGCAUGUUGGAACUAAGCUGACAUGGGGCUGUUAGCUGAUUCUAAUGUGCCCAGAAUUAGAAUACUGAUCCAGAUGUUUACAUUAUCCAUCCCUCUUGUUUCUUCUGAGCAGCAGCCAGAGAUCACUGGUUGGUUCACAGGAAUAAGCAGGGUUAGCCUAAAUUGCAGAAACAAACUUAAAAACAACAAUGAAACUAGAAUUUAAGAAGUGUACCAUAGUUCUUGAAACAUAAUUUCUCUCUCUAGUUUCCCAUUUUCCAUUUUUACUAAAAACAAAUCUUGGUAAGACUGAUUUUAUUAUACUUGGCCUGAUUGUUUGUAUAAAGUACAGCAAGAAUAAUUAUUUUUCACAUAAGCUCUUUUUAAAUUGGCUUUGAUGGAACUGUGUUCCAUAGAAGGAAUCUCAGAUAAGACUUUUUUAGAGCCAGGCCCUGCCAUGGGUUUGUACCCUCAAAUACCUAUGAGUUGAGUAAAUUCCUCUCCUCUUGAGCCUCAAGAUAGCUUGGGGCUACUGGACCUGUCAGAAAGUGACAUUCUUCAUUUACCACAGGUCAGGAACCCCAUACAGGGACUGUGAAGACAAGGUAUGAGGCAUUUCGCCAAGGGGCUUUUAUUGGCUUUACAAGUCAAGUUUGAUUCCUUAAUGCAAAGCAUCCCAUUCCAGUUAAAGCCUUGGUAAAAUAACCAGUUUUUCCAAUUGUCUCCUGUUACAAAAGAAAUCAGAUGUUUAUUGCACUUAUGCAAAUAACUAUAUUGCCAUUAAAUUAAGAAUACUCACAAAUAGUUUCCAAAUUCUGGAGAAAACAGAGAAAUAUGCUCCAAAUUUUGUUCACAGGAGUAUAUUUUACUCAAUUGCUAAAAGCUGUACAUAGCUCAAAAGAAAAGUUUCCUUGACUCUGAGAAACGAAACAAAGGAUCAGCAACAUUUUAAGUAAAGUUAAAAACAUUACUUCAGUUUUUUAUUGGUUCAGUUAAUUUAGUUAACUCCUGUUUUGCUUGAUAUUCAUGAACAUUUCAGCUCUCUAUGAGAGUUCUGAAAGUUUUUCCUCCAUUCUAAUAUCACAAUUUCCAAAGUUAUUAAAAACCUGCGUUUAAGAACCCCUGUGAGAGCUCCAUAGUUGGUUAUAAACCACCUUCUAAAAAGGAUUAAAACAAGAUAACAAUUGUCUGUGGAUAACAAAAUAUUUUAGGGCAGCCACAAUCAAAAACAUGAAAUUUGGUUACCUUUGUGGCAUGCAAUGAUUUUAUGUAACAAUUAUAAUUAUUAAUAACAUACAGUAAGUCACAUUAGAAUUAGAGGAUUUUCCCAUACUUUUGGAACAUAUACCAAUAACACAUUUAUACAAAUAACAGCCCAAAGAAAACCAAACACCAUUUCACAUUUGAUAAUGCUUCCUGAGCAAUUUUUGUACCAAAUAAGCCAAACGUCACUCUUGCAUUAGUGCACUGUUGAUGUCAAAGCCAAUUAAUUCUUAAUGAAAUCUUAUAGACAAAUGUGUUCAAACUUAAUCAGUUUGGCCAUAAGGUAAGUUUCUCAUAAGCCUUUGAUAACCCUUUACACAUUUUUAUUAAAGAGCAGGUCAUAGGCAGGUUUUUGCUCGAAGAAAAAACCUGUUAUGCUUUUAUUCCCAUGUUCAGUUUACAGAAAAACUGAAUAAUACCCCUUUAACUUUAGCCCAUUUGUUCACACCCAGAAUUUUUUUACAAGAUUAACUUAUAACAAGCCUUCCACAACUUGCGUAAACCUUCAGCUUGAUUCUAAUUUAAAACAAUCCUUUUUUUUUUUUUUUUUUUUUUUUUUUUUUUUGAGAUAGAGUCUCCCUCUGUCACCCAGGCUGGAGUGCAGUGGCAUGAUCUCAGCUCACUGCGAGCUCCGCCUCCUGGGUUCACGCCUUUGUCCUGCCUCAGCCUCCUGAGUAGCUGGGACUACAGGCGCCCACAACCACGCCUGGCUAAUUUUUUUUUGCAUUUUUAGUAGAGACUGGGUUUCACCGUGUUAGCCAGGAUGGUCUUGAUCUCCUGACUUCAUGAUCCGCCCACCUCGGCCUCCCAAACUGCUGGGAUUACGGGCGUGAGCCACCGCGCCCGGCCUAAAACAAUUCUUUAACUCUUUAAUCUAGGUAAGAAAAAUCCACAUUUCCAUGUGUUCUUAUAAUCUUUUACCAAAAGACACAUUUCACUUUUCUUACACAUCUUGCAUGUAAAACUGUUUUUUUUAGCAGUCUUAAUUACAUGUGACGAUGUUAAUUGUUAGUGACUUUUACUCUUGGUGAAAACCUUGGUAAGUUGGGGAUUCUAAUUGUGUACCAGGUGUGGAAUUUAGCCUAGGACACACCAGGCAGAAGUGCAGAUAAGGGGGCUGACUCCAGCAUAGCUAGGGGCGUGGCUAACUCCACAUGUCCCUGGCCUUAUCUAGAAUCUAAUGCUCCAGAGUAGGAAACUGAAUAAUUUUUAAAAGUCAGGUUGGGCGCAGUGGCUCACCCUUGUAAUCCCAGCACUUUGGGAGGCCAAGGCAGGUGGAUCACAAGGUCAGGAGAUUGAGACCAUCCUGGCUAACACAGUGAAACCCUGUAUCUACUAAAAAUACAAAAAAAUUAGCCAGGCGUGGUGGCGGGUGCCUGUAGUCCCACCUACUCGGGAGGCUGAGGCAGGAGAAUGGCAUGAACCCAGGAGGCGGAGCUUGCAAUGAGCCGAGAUCGCACCACUGCCCUCCAGCCUGGGCAACAGAGUAAAACUCUGUCUCAAAAAAAAAAAAAAAAAGUCAAAGAAGCAGUUUAUGACCUUAAAGCAUUUAGCAAACUUAAUAUCUCACCUGCAUAAUUUAGACCAAAUGUUUACAUGUUUGAAGAUAUUUUUAUUUUGCCAAUAAUCUUUAAAACUCCUUAUUUCCCAAAGAUUACUUCAGUCACAUGAACUAAAAGGCAUUACACUUUUUACUUUUCUGACAAAAUAUUUAAGCACUUAUUUUUAAACCAAUUAGUUAAAGCUCUUUCAUUCAUAAACAUCACACACAUAAUACAUAUAAAUACAUAGAAGAUAAAGAACUUAUUUUCCAAGCCAGGAAUUGAACCCUGAACCUGGGCCACCAUUGUGAAAAGAGAAAGCAUGGCCACAUGGUUACAAGGUCAAGCUCCCAAGAACAUAGAAGACAAGAAGGAAACCUCAUCCAGUUUUUUGAGGGACCUGCAGCAAAGUUUGUAAUUGACCAGUUUGCUGAGCUGUCUUGAAAAGCAGGCUUAAAGGUGUCCUAAGUCCGUGCUCUAUCCUAAGGUACUCCUCUUUAUGACAGAGCAAUACAGAAAGACACAGAAAGCACACCAGACCUGGUUGGCUACAGCUUAAGACUAGCCUCACAAAUCCUUUAUUCCAUUAAUCAAAACUUUACAGGAGAUAAACAAUUAUUUUUUACAAUUUAUUCAACCAGUUUGCACAGAGAGAGAAAAGCAUUGCCUGAGGCAGGAUGGGGAAGGCGAGGCGCUCAGGGAGGUCAGAGAAAGACCCAUCCAUUGCAGCAACACUGAAAAGUUUAGGUGGCUGCUUGUCAGUCAUGAAGGGAUCUUUUCCAGCAGUCCCGUCAGCUCCCAAGUUUCCCCGUUUAAGGAGGAAAAAACUCCCCAAGUCCUACAAUCCUGUACGUGGCUAAUUCUGUCACUCACAGCCAUCAGCAAAGAGUGCAAGGCAGAUUAAUCCCAAGAGAAUAGCAGUUAACAUCCCAUAGUGCCAAACCUGCUCUUAGCCAGAAGCGACUUUACUGAGAGGGACCUUACUGAGAGGGGCCUCUAACCCCCUAAAUCUGAGAAGGGACUCUAACCCUCCUGAGUUGGGCCUCUAACCCAAGGUUGAGCAAGCGUCCUUACCUUUCCUUAAGAGGGGCCUCUAACCCACUGUGUCUUAGGACAGACUCUAACUCCCCUACGUUGGGCCUCUAACCCAAUCCCAUCCUUUACCCAGGUACCCCACCACUUAUUCAAAGUCGGCCAACCAGUGGUGCAGUCUACUUCUUUUGGGUUGAGGGGUCUCCUCAGUAUCGUCCCUUCCAUGAUUCACCAGAAAGACGUUACCAGACCCUACCACUUACCCAAAGUUACUCUUUGGGUCUGGGGUUUCCACACUAUAGUCACUUCUGUGGUCGCCAGAAAGAUGUUACAGGACCCCAUCACUUAACCAAAGUAAACCUUUGAGUCAAGGGUUUCCACACUAUGGUUCUUUCCAUGGUCACCAGAAAGAUGUUACAGGAAAGGGGUCCCAAUCCAGACCCCGAGAGAGGGUUCUUGGAUCUCACGCAAGAAAGAAUUCAGUGCAAGUUCAUGAAGUGAAAGCAAAUUUAUUAAGAAAGUAAAGGAAUAAAAAAAGGGCUACCCAUAGACAAAGCAGCCCUGAGGGCUGCUGGUUGCCCAUUUUUAUGGUUAUUUCUUGAUGAUAUGCUAAUCAGGGUGUGGAUUAUUCAUGUCUCCCCUUUUUAGACCAUAUAGGGUAGCAUCCUGACGUUGCCAUGGCACCUGCAAACUGUCAUGGUGCUGGUGGGAGUGUAGCAGUGAGGAUGACCAGAGGUCACUCUUGUGGCCAUCUUGGUUUUGGUGGGAUUUAGCCAGCUUCCUUAUUGCAGCCUGUUUUAUCAGCAAGGUCUUUAAGACCUGUAUCUUGUGCUGACCUCCUAUCUCAUCCUGUGACUUAGACUACCUAACCAUCGGGGAAUGCAGCCCAGUAGGUCUCAGCCUCAUUUUACCCAGCUCAUAUUCAAGAUGGAGUUGCUCUGGUUCACACGUCUCUGACAGGUAGAUUCAAAAAUUUCCUGAUUGGCAAUGGGUUGAAAGAGUUAAGCUUUGUCUAAAAAGUUGAACUCAGCUUGAGUUAAGGUGGGGGCGGGGGUGGUUGUGGAAGCCAAGGUUUUUGUUAUGUUGAUGAAGCCUCCGGAUGGCAGGCUUCAGAGAGAAUAGAUGUGCAUGUCUCUUAUAGGCCCUUAAAAGGUGUCAGAGUCUCCAGAAAAAGCCUAAUAAGGGAAGCAGAUUCUCUGCAGAAUGCACAUUUCCCCCAUGAGAGACAGCUUUGCAAGGGCCAUUUCAACAUAUGUCAAGGAAAUAUAUUUUGAGGUAAAAUACUUUGAUUCCUUCGGGGCUACUAUGUGUCAUGUGAUGCUAUACCGGAGUCCCGUUGAAUUGGGUAUCUUAUUGCUACAGAGAGUCUGUUUUGUCAGUCUAGGAUCUCUGUUUUUAUUUUAAUGUUGGUCAGUUGUGUCUAAAUUCCAGAGCGGGGCAGGUAUAAUGGGGCAUCCCGAGCCCUCCUUCCCAUUCAUGGCCUGAACUGGUUUUUCAGGUUUCUUUGGGUCCCGGUGGCUGCAAGGGGAUGCACUCAGUUGGCUGGGGGACUUAGAAUUUUAGUUUUGGUUUACAGCAGGAUUUGAUGGGCAUGCAUAUUUAUCAAUGUGAAAGUGUUGUCUGUGGGCGGCGGAGGGCUUGGGCCGUGUCCAGGCCACGCACUGCAAGGGUGCAGCCCCCACACACGGUCCCUGCUCCUAAAGCUGUUGCCCCCACUGCAAGAGUGGAGUAGGUUGAGGUGUAGCCAUGACAUUCUGGAAACUACAUUUUUUGUAAUAGUCAUUUUGAAAAUAAAACAUUUGAAAAUACUGUGCAGCAAAAACUUGAAUAAUUGGAAUAAAAAUGUUCAGUUUAAUGUCAUUGCUUGCUGCCACCGUUUUCUGAUUGUAAAACUAACGUGAUUAUUAGGUACUAUUUUGGUAAUGUAGAAAACUUUAAAGAUGAAAAUAGAUAUCACUUAUAACUCCACAUGGAGAAAUAGUUGCCCCUCCAAUUUAAUUGAUUUACUUUUGGGCCACAGGGGCCCAGAAUUUGAUUCAUUGUACUCCUUGGUUCAUGCCAGUGUUCCUGCACCCAGCACUGAAGCUGAACAUUGACAGUGAUUUGCCCCUGCCCCAGAGUCCUCCCUGCAUUCCCCUCGAGGGCCCCCGUCUCCUGGCCCUGGUGUCCACUUUUCUCUCAGCUGCUGGGAACGUGUUAGUGUGCACUGUUCUCCUUUCCCUCACCUGCUGGCUUCAUGUUAGCAUGCACCGUUCUGCUCACUUUCUUCCCCUCACCUGCCGGGAUCAUCUUAGCAUGCACCAUUCUGCUCACUUUCUUCCUCUCACCUGCCAGGAUCAUGUAAGCGUGCACCGUUCUCCACACUUUCUUCCUCUCACCUGCCGGGAUCACGUUAGCAUGCACCAUUCUGCACACUUCCUUCCCCUCAUCUGCCAGGGUCAUCUUAGCAUGCACCAUUCUGCUCACUUCACCUUCUUCUUCUCGCCUGCUGGGAUCAUGUUAGUGUGCACUGUUCUGCACACUUUCUUCCUCUCCCCUGCUGGGAUCAUGUUAGUGUGCACCGUUCUGCACACUUUCUUCCUCUCACCUGCUGGGAUCAUCUUAGCAUGCACCAUUCUGCUCACUUUCUUCCUGUCACCUGCUGGGAUCAUGUUGGCGUGCACCAUUCUGCACACUUUCUUCCUCUCGCCUGCUGGGAUCAUGUUAGCGUGCACAGUUCUGCAUACUUGCUUCCCCUCACCUGCCAGGAACAGGUUAGUGUUCCCCAUUCUGCACACUUUCUUCCUCUCACCUGCCGGGAUCAUGUUAGCGUACACCAUUCUGCACACUUUCUUCCUCUGUGUACGUGUGUGUGGUUUUCCUUUCAGAAAUGGGUCAUACUCUGUGGACAUCUUUUUCCACUUAAAGUGAUGGCACAGCCAUUUUCCCAGUCAAGUAACAUGAAUGUACAAGUUUAGCAAACUUCCUCCUGAGAGAUGGAGAGAUCAAGGCUUCUGCUCCGUGGCAGCCAUCCGUGCACAUGCAUCACUGUGCGUGAGUUGGUCCCAGUGGCUUGCUGAGACAUGCUCUGCACAGGGGAGAUUUCUUAUACCAGCAGUGUGGGAGGCAGUGGGGCAGGUAGAGCCACAAGUGGGGAUGAGGGAGCAGAGUCUAGGGCAGGCUCCUGGAUGGACACCAGCUACACUGUCUAUUGGAUGUGGGACUUCCCUCACUGAUGAAAUGAAUAAGAGAAUCUUCCUCAUCCUGCUGUUGUUGGCGUUAAAACGGGUUAAUGCAUGAAAGCAACAAAGCCCGGCCUGCAGACAGCACAUGGUAAGUCUCCUCUUCCCAGCAUGUUCAACAGGAAGCCCUCAUUCCCUCUAGAAUGUAGGAGUCUUGCCAGCAGUGGCCUGUUUGUUCUCUGCCUGUUGCCGACCUGAUGAGAACAUAAAAUUGGUGUCUUCUGUAUAGAUUUCCUUCUUAUUGCCCCUACUGUGGCUGAACAUACCUUCCCCCGUGCUUGAAGUCUGUUCAUAUAUGUUCUGCUGUGAUAACUGCCCAUUCUUGUUCUCUAUCUAAGAAGGCAUUUAGUUUUGAAAAUAUUUUGUUGGCUUGUAAGAUAUUUGUACAUAUUAAGCACAGCAAACCUGUAACAUAUUCACUGUAAAUCAUUAUUCCUCAUGCAUCAUUUGCCAUUUAACUGUAUUUUUUUCCUUUUUGAUGUAACCUGCUAUAGUUUACAUUUUUAAAUCAGAAAUGCCUGCACAUUUUAAAACGAAGACUCUUAUGCUCUAGCCUUUGAGGUCAUGCUUGGAAAGUCCUUUCUCACACAAAGAUUAUUUACACUUUCAUCUCUUUUUCUCUGAGUACGUUUCAGUGUUUAAUUGACCAGGAAUGUAUUUCGAGGUGUGAUAUGAGACAAGGAUCUGAAAUGCUUUGCCCACUGAAUCAUCAUGCACUGACCGAAAUGCCACCUGUAUGAGUGCUAAAAUCAUUGUCGCUGGACCUGUGUCUGCACUGUUUAAUUUUAGUGUUGUUUCUCACAUCAGCUUCUGUUGUUUUCAUGGUUGUGGUUCUCAUACUUUUAAUAUCUGUUGGAGCAAAUAAAGCCUCGUUUCUCAUCUUUUCCAAAAA